rnacentral:rRNA from 1 species
UACAGAGGUGGCAAGCGUUGUUCGGAAUUACUGGGCGUAAAGGGCGAGUAGGUGGCCAUCUAAGUCAGACGUGAAAUCCCCCGGCUUAACCUGGGAACUGCGUCUGAUACUGGACGGCUUGAGUAUGGGAGAGGAACGUAGAAUUCCAGGUGUAGCGGUGAAAUGCGUAGAUAUCUGGAGGAAUACCGGUGGCGAAGGCGGCAUCCUGGACCGAAAUUGACGCUGAGGCGCGAAAGCCAGGGGAGCAAACGGG